GCUUAACACAUGCAAGUCGAACGCUGAAGCCUAGCUUGCUGGGUGGAUGAGUGGCGAACGGGUGAGUAACACGUGAGUAACCUGCCCUCUUCUUUGGGAUAACGCCCGGAAACGGGUGCUAAUACUGGAUAUUCACUGAUUCUCGCAUGGGGGUUGGUGGAAAGGUUUUUUCUGGUGGGGGAUGGGCUCGCGGCCUAUCAGCUUGUUGGUGGGGUGAUGGCCUACCAAGGCUUUGACGGGUAGCCGGCCUGAGAGGGUGACCGGUCACAUUGGGACUGAGAUACGGCCCAGACUCCUACGGGAGG
rnacentral:rRNA from 1 species